rnacentral:misc_RNA from 1 species
UCAAGUGCCAGCAUUGGGUCAAUGGGAUACGCGAUAGCAUGAAAAGGCUGCACGCUAGGAAGGACGGACAUAGUAAUUUGCCUCCGUAUAAUCCCUUCAACUUCAGUGAACAUCUUAGCGCGAUCCUCCCAACUGCAGACGCACUGUAAUGUAUGCAGAAGGUUGCAAGUCGCUUCAGGAAAGUCUGGUCGAAGAAGCAAAGCCUGCUUAUAGCUCUUUACAGCAGCCUCCACGUGACCACUGUCCUUAUAAGCUGAAGCCAAAUUUGCAUGAGC